CAAAGUAGAGCUUGUUGGAAAGUAUUUUAUUUACAUUAAAAAGUUAAAUGUUAGAAUCAUUUUAUUUUGA
rnacentral:tRNA from 1 species